rnacentral:rRNA from 1 species
CCUCCCGAGUGCUUGCACUCAUUUGGAAAGAGGAGUGGCGGACGGGUGAGUAACACGUGGGUAACCUACCCAUCAGAGGGGGAUAACACUUGGAAACAGGUGCUAAUACCGCAUAACAGUUUAUGCCGCAUGGCAUAAGAGUGAAAGGCGCUUUCGGGUGUCACUGAUGGAUGGACCCGCGGUGCAUUAGCUAGUUGGUGAGGUAACGGCUCACCAAGGCCACGAUGCAUAGCCGACCUGAGAGGGUGAUCGGCCACACUGGGACUGAGACACGGCCCAGACUCCUACGGGAGGCAGCAGUAGGGAAUCUUCGGCAAUGGACGAAAGUCUGACCGAGCAACGCCGCGUGAGUGAAGAAGGUUUUCGGAUCGUAAAACUCUGUUGUUAGAGAAGAACAAGGACGUUAGUAACUGAACGUCCCCUGACG